rnacentral:tRNA from 1 species
AUAGUGAAAUUAAUUAAACCUGACUCAUAAUCAGGUGGUCCCUGGUUCGAGCCCAGGUGGGACCA